UCAGAAACCCUCAGAGACCAUUGACGAUG
rnacentral:piRNA from 1 species